rnacentral:rRNA from 1 species
ACGCUCGACACCUACGGGAGGCAGCAGUGGGGAAUAUUGCACAAUGGGGGAAACCCUGAUGCAGCGACGCCGCGUGAAGGAAGAAGUAUCUCGGUAUGUAAACUUCUAUCAGCAGGGAAGAAAGUGGCGGUACCUGACUAAGAAGCCCCGGCUAACUACGUGCCAGCAGCCACGGUAAUCUGAGCGGGCUGGCAAGGC